UACGUAGGGUGCAAGCGUUGUCCGGAAUUAUUGGGCGUAAAGAGCUCGUAGGCGGUUUGUUGCGUUGGCUGUGAAAUCCCGAGGCUCAACCUCGGGUCUGCAGUCGAUACGAGCAAACUAGAGUGUUGCAGGGGAGACUGGAAUUCCUGGUGUAGCGGUGAAAUGCGCAGAUAUCAGGAGGAACACCGGUGGCGAAGGCGGUUCUCUGGGCAUGUCCUGACGCUGAGGAGCGAAAGUGUGGGGAGCGAACAGG
rnacentral:rRNA from 1 species